GACGAACCGUGCGAACGUUGUUCGGAAUCACUGGGCUUAAAGGGCGCGUAGGCGGGCGGUCAAGUCCGGGGUGAAAGCCCCCAGCUCAACUGGGGAAGGGCCUUGGAAACUAGCCGUCUUGAGGGAGGUAGGGGCCUGUGGAACUUCGGGUGGAGCGGUGAAAUGCGUUGAUAUCCGAAGGAACGCCGGUGGCGAAAGCGACGGGCUGGAUCUCUUCUGACGCUGAGGCGCGAAAGCUAGGGUAGCGAACGGG
rnacentral:rRNA from 1 species